rnacentral:rRNA from 1 species
GAGGAAUAUUGGUCAAUGGGCGAGAGCCUGAACCAGCCAAGUAGCGUGCAGGAAGACGGCCCUAUGGGUUGUAAACUGCUUUUAUGUGGGGAUAAAGUGAGCUACGUGUAGUUUAUUGCAGGUACCACAUGAAUAAGGACCGGCUAAUUCCGUGCCAGCAGCCGCGGUAAUACGGAAGGUCCAGGCGUUAUCCGGAUUUAUUGGGUUUAAAGGGAGCGUAGGCCGUGGAUUAAGCGUGUUGUGAAAUGUAGGCGCUCAACGUCUGAAUUGCAGCGCGAACUGGUUCACUUGAGUAUGCACAACGUAGGCGGAAUUCGUCGUGUAGCGGUGAAAUGCUUAGAUAUGACGAAGAACUCCGAUUGCGAAGGCAGCUUACGGGAGCACAACUGACGCUGAAGCUCGAAGGUGCGGGUAUCAAACAGGAUUAGAUACCCUGGUAGUCCGCACAGUAAACGAUGGAUGCCCGUUGUUAGUUCACUUAAGAAUUAGCGACCAAGCGAAAGCAUUAAGCAUCCCACCUGGGGAGUACGCCGGCAACGGUG